rnacentral:rRNA from 1 species
CGCCUUGCCAGCCCGCUCAGAAACUCAAAUGAAUUGACGGGGGCCCGCACAAGCGGCGGAGCAUGUGGAUUAAUUCGAUGCAACGCGAAGAACCUUACCUGGGUUUGACAUACACCGGAAAACCGUAGAGAUACGGUCCCCCUUGUGGUCGGUGUACAGGUGGUGCAUGGCUGUCGUCAGCUCGUGUCGUGAGAUGUUGGGUUAAGUCCCGCAACGAGCGCAACCCUUGUCUUAUGUUGCCAGCACGUUAUGGUGGGGACUCGUAAGAGACUGCCGGGGUCAACUCGGAGGAAGGUGGGGACGACGUCAAGUCAUCAUGCCCCUUAUGUCCAGGGCUUCACACAUGCUACAAUGGCCAGUACAGAGGGCUGCGAGACCGUGAGGUGGAGCGAAUCCCUUAAAGCUGGUCUCAGUUCGGAUCGGGGUCUGCAACUCGACCCCGUGAAGUCGGAGUCGCUAGUAAUCGCAGAUCAGCAACGCUGCGGUGAAUACGUUCCCGGGCCUU